rnacentral:tRNA from 1 species
GCACCGUUGAAUUAAAUAUACAAUUCCUGAAAAUAUCUCACAUACAAUCCAAUUCCCUUAAUCACACUUUUU